UUUUGUUCCUUCAGACGCUCCCUCCUCCGCCAACACCGCUCUCUCUUCCGAUGCCGAUGCCGACGCCGAAACCUGUAGUAGAUGCCACCGCCGACGCCGCCAUUCCGUCUCGACUUGCCGCCGACCCUGCUAGCCUCUGCCACCGCCAUUGCUAGCCUCCACCACCACUGUUCAUUGAAGAAGCUGAGAGAAGUUUGCAUGUCGCAAUUAUGAUUGUUAGAAGAGCUAUGAAAAACUCUACCGUUGUUGCUGGUGGUGGUGCGAUAGAUGUAAGACCUUAACACCAUUCUGUAAUAUCUGGUUUCAUUGAUCUCAACAACUUGAAAUCUCACGCACGCACGCAAAAUAAAUUGCUCGGUGCAGAUGGAGAUUAGCCGAUAUUUAAGGCAGCAUGCAUGCAUAAUAAAAGGGAAAUCUCAACUCUUUAUAAACUCAUAUGCCAAAGCCCUUGGAUGCCUGGGAGGAAGUUGAUCUAGAUGAAUUCUCUUAUGAGGAAUUAUUAGCGUUGGAUGAAGUAGUUGGAACUGAGAGCAGGGGACUUUCUGCAGAUACAAUUGCCUCUUUACCUUCAAUGAGCUACAAAUCACAAAAUACUCAGGAUGGAGCUAAUGAUUCCACAAUAAACUCAUAAUUUACUGUUUAUGUUAAGAUAUUAUUUUUAAAAUUCUUGCUUUUGUGUUAGAUGUGUCAUCUGUAGAAUGACUUUGCUUUUGUUCUAAAGGAACAGAAAAUGUGA